rnacentral:rRNA from 1 species
CGCAGUGCGGUGACGCAGGGGGGGUAAAGAGAGGGGGGCAUGCGUUAAUUGGAAUUACUGGGCGGAAAGGGGGCGUGGGCGGGUCGGUAAGUCUGUCGUGAAAGCCCCGGGCUCAACCUGGGAAAGGCGAUGGAUACUGGCGAGCUAGAGUGUGUCAGAGGAUGGUGGAAUUCCCGGUGUAGCGGUGAAAUGCGUAGAGAUCGGGAGGAACAUCAGUGGCGAAGGCGGCCAUCUGGGACAACACUGACGCUGAAGCACGAAAGCGUGGGGAGCAAACAGGAUUAGAUACCCCAGUAGUC